rnacentral:rRNA from 1 species
AGAGUUUGAUCCUGGCUCAGAACUAACGCUGGCGGCGCGUAUUAAGCAUGCAAGUCGGACGGUAGUCCUGCUUUCGGGCGGGAUGAGAGUGGCGAACGGGUGAGUAACACGUAGGUGAUCUACCUCUGGAUGGGGGAUGGCCCAUGGAAACAUGGGGUAAUACCGCAUGAGGCCCUUAGAGCUUCAGGCUUAAGGGUGAAAGGCGCAGGAUGUGUCGUCUGGAGAUGAGCCUGCGGUCCAUUAGUUAGUUGGCGGGGUAAAGGCCCACCAAGGCGACGAUGGAUAGCCGGCCUGAGAGGGUGCACGGUCACACUGGGACUGAGACACGGCCCAGACUCCUACGGGAGGCAGCAGCUAAGAAUCUUCCGCAAUGGGCGAAAGCCUGACGGAGCGACGCCGCGUGAACGAAGAAGGCCGUGAGGUUGUAAAGUUCUUUUCUUGGUGAAGAAUAAGGCGGGGAGUGGAAAGCCCUGCUGAUGACGUUAGCCGAGGAAUAUGCCCCGGCCAAUUACGUGCCAGCAGCCGCAGUAACACGUAUGGGGCAAGCGUUGUUCGGAAUUAUUGGGCGUAAAGGGCGCGUAGGCGGUUUAGUAAGCCUGGUGUGAAAGGCUCCGGCUCAACCGGGGAAUUGCGCUGGGAACUGCUGGACUGGAGUUCAGGAGAGGGAGCUGGAAUUCCUGGUGUAGGGGUGAAAUCUGUAGAUAUCAGGAAGAACACCGGUAGCGAAGGCGAGCUCCUGGCCAUGGACUGACGCUGAGGCGCGAAAGCGUGGGGAGCGAACAGGAUUAGAUACCCUGGUAGUCCACGCUGUAAACGAUGUGCACUGGGUGUUGGUGCUUGAAUAGGCAUCAGUGCCGCAGCUAACGCGAUAAGUGCACCGCCUGGGGAGUAUGCUCGCAAGGGUGAAACUCAAAGGAAUUGACGGGGGCCCGCACAAGCGGUGGAGCAUGUGGUUUAAUUCGAUGAUACGCGAGGAACUUACCAGGCUGACAUGUGCGUGGGCGUCUGUGAGAGCAGCUUUCUCUAUGAGACGCGCACACAGUGCUGCAUGUGUCGUCAGCUCAGUCUGAAAUGUGGGUAGUCCCGCACGAGCCAUCUUACUGUCUGUUGCAGCAUAGUGGACUCAGGCGGACCUGCCGGGUAUACCUGAGAGGUGAUAUGACUCAAUCAUCAUGUCCUUAUAGUCUCUGGGCAUACACAC